rnacentral:rRNA from 1 species
CCUGCGUGCGCUUUACGCCCAGUAAUUCCGAUUAACGCUCGCACCCUCCGUAUUACCGCGGCUGCUGGCACGGAGUUAGCCGGUGCUUCUUCUGUCGCUAACGUCAAAGAAAUACCGCUAUUAACGAUACCCCCUUCCUCACGACUGAAAGUACUUUACAACCCGAAGGCCUUCUUCAUACACGCGGCAUGGCUGCAUCAGGCUUGCGCCCAUUGUGCAAUAUUCCCCACUGCUGCCUCCCGUANGAKUCUGGACCGUGUCUCAGUUCCAGUGUGGCUGAUCAUCCUCUCAGACCAGCUAGGGAUCGUCGCCUUGGUGAGCCCGUAGGAGUCUGGGCCGUGUCUCAGUUCCAAUGUGGCCGAUCACCUCUCAGGUCGGCUACUGAUCGUCGCCUUGGUAAGCCGUUAMCUUACCAACUAGCUAAUCAGACGCGGGUCCAUCCUAUACCGCAAAAGCUUUGAUAAGAAAUCCAUGCGAAUUUCUUAUGUUAUCUCGUAUUAGCAUACCUUUCGGUAUGUUAUCCGUGUGUAUAGGGCAGGUUACCCACGCGUUACUCACCCGUCCGCCGCUCUUUACCGAAGUAAAUCGCUCGACUUGCAUGUGUUAGGCACGCCGCCAGCGUUCAUCCUGAGCCAGGAUCAAACUCUCCAA